rnacentral:lncRNA from 1 species
AAGAUUCAGCAGCGUCAGGUAGUCACUGUAUUUUAUUGGAAAACAUUGAUAUAGUUUUAUUUUCACAGCUUGAACUGAACACAACAUCGCCCGCUUUCAGACAGCCUCGCUCCCACCAGCCCUGCGCCCCAGCUCUCACAACAGGCGUCCCCUCCCCCCGGUUCCGCUCACAGCCCCGGUUCCGCCACAGGGCACGCUCAAGCACCUGCUUUCCGGGGGGCCAAGCGGGAAAAAAUGCGGCUGUUUUUUUUUCUGAGCGCCCCGCCCCCACCCCAAACUUUUACAAAAUUAAAAAUAAAGAGAAGCAAGUCAUUAGGUAGAACAGGGGCCGCGCUGGUGAUGCCCACCCAGCCACUGGCAGCUGGCGCUCGCCGCGGGUCUUCGCCAAUCCCCUCCCGCCCGCUAGCGCUGGCCAGGCAGAAAGCAGCCAUGCCUUGUGCAGAGCGGGGACUGGAUGGGUUAGCACCAAUAUUUACACAGCAGCUUGGAGAGGUGGAUGGUGCUUAGGAAACAUCGCAUGUACAUUUACAGUUUGUACAGGGCUACGAGCAAGGAGAAACUAGUCCUGCUUUUAGGAUCACGUGUCAAGAGCCAAUUUCUUUUUAAGUUUUUUUUUUUUUGGGCUGUUAAACCCCCCUCUGCCCCCCUUUCCCCCCGGAUGGCGCGACAAGGUCUCUGGAACCCACACUCCAGUCUCUGGGAUCGUUCGCCGCCCCCUUUCUAAAAAAACAGACGAGACAAGAGGCUUCCCUUCCUCUUGUCGUUUCCAGGGGCGAGACGCUCUGAGGCCGCGGGGUGAAUGCACAGACCCACAGUGCCAGAUGCAUGCAACAUGGUUAAAGUUUGCUCUCGCCGCGGCGUGCUGGGACACCGGCCAGCUCCGUCCGCAGAACAAAGAACCCCCCAAAGGAACUAAAGAUAUCUGCAAGGCUGAGAUUUCUUGGGGGGGGGCGGGGGGGUGGAGGGACGCGCUUGGUUAGGGCCAGAGAGAUGGCUGGUGGAGAGGACGAGAAAGGGGAAGGGGAAGGAGGGACAGGGCACAAUCAUGCAGUUUGUGGGGCAAGUAAAUUUUUUGUUGCUUAGUCAGAUUUCUCCCCACAGCCGAUUGGAGUUUGCUGAAAGAACCAGGUUACUUAAGUAGAGAGAGAUGUGUGGACACAAAGUAUUGAAGGAGAAUGGGCAUCGCCAGCCGCCCGUCCAGGAGCCUUCACUUUGCGUCAUGCAUCGUGCACGACUCUGCGAGAGAGAGAGAAGGGAGAGAGGGAGGAGAUGCAGGGUACAGGAUCAGCAAGCCAGGAUCGCAUCCCCACUCUGCCUUCCUCUCCAGGGUGUGUCCGUGAGCAACGACUGAGAAGUCAUUCUCCGCUCUACUCUGCGCGGUUUA